rnacentral:rRNA from 1 species
UACGUAGGUGGCAAGCGUUGUCCGGAUUUACUGGGCGUAAAGCGUGCGCAGGCGGCUUUGCAAGACAGAUGUGAAAUCCCCCGGGCUUAACCUGGGAACUGCAUUUGUGACUGCAUGGCUGGAGUGCGGCAGAGGGGGAUGGAAUUCCGCGUGUAGCAGUGAAAUGCGUAGAUAUCGGAGGAAGACACUCAGUGGCGAAAGGCAGCUUCCCUGG